AAUUUCUUUUCGUUUUUAAAAAGUAGAAAAAUAUGCGUGUCCCUCGAUGGAUUUGAACCGGGGACCUUUGAUUCUUGGAGCUUUCGUUCAUUCCACUGGACCAGCAAGGCUCGCAAGUAUUGGGUAUUUAAAUUAAUUUGAUUUUGGCAAUUUGAGUGGCACUAUUUUGUUUAUCGUAGUGAGUUGCACGCAUUCGGUUUAGGGUAUUUAAAUCUUGGAAUUAGCUAUUGUAAUCACUCGACAAAAGUUAGCCAACGACUUACAAGUUUUUAUGAAUAUUAUUUUCGACGAUUCAUUUAGAUGUAUUUUCAGAUAUUGGGGAAAGUUUUGUUGAACAGGAAACCUCUCUCAAUCAGGAUGUUUACUGAUUUCAGCUGCAGUUUUGUAUUCUUCUCCAUUUAGAAUCCCUUCAAUAAUGCCGCAUAUGCUUUGAUGUAGUGUUUACAGUCAUUCUAAUAUGUUUUUAUUUUCUUAGCUCUACUUAAAAAAGUCAAUUUAUUGUACAUUAUAAUUAAUGACACUUUUGCCUUAAGUUUGUGAGAAUGAGUCCGCCAUUCAUUUUGUUUACCUCGCAAUUGCUGCGGACUUACAGGUUUCCAUAGUUUUUUCAACAAAAGGUUGUUUUUUUAUCUAUGGUUUUUCCUGGGCGGCGAGGGAAGCAUAAUUGUUUCUUACGUUUUUCAUAUUAUUUCCAUUUAUGGAGUCCAACUCAAUAAGACCUGGUAAUGCCUCGCUAAAAUCUAAACUAUAGUUUCAGUGAAGUGGGGACUAUAAAUAUCGUGUUAAAUAUCUUCUUGUUCUGUGAUAUUUAAUUAAUUAUUUCUUUGAUACAUUGUAGAAGGAAGGUAAAGAAUUGGUUCUAUUGAAGACCUGUUUUCAUAAAUGUAUUCGUCUAAUAAAUGCAGCAAGCAAGAGCUUCUUUGUGGACGCACCUUAGGACGCGUUUAUAUCAAUUCUACAAAUCAGUUUAAAUUAAUCUGCCCAACAUCGCCGCCUCCUCCUUCAUUAUGGAUAACGAUUUACCCUCCUAUGGAUCUUUGUACAAUUUGACUUUAAUAAAUGGCUAACUAUGUCUUACCCUAUAUUCUGUGUUUUGUUUUAUUUUAUAUUAGAACAGGAAAUAAUUUAUGUUCGGAUGAGCGAAGCGAAGGAGAACAUAAAUAAAUUUCUUUUCGUUUUUAAAAAGUAGAAAAAUAUGCGUGUCCCUCGAUGGAUUUGAACCGGGGACCUUUGAUUUUGGGAGCUUUCGCUCAUUCCACUGGACCAGCAAGGCUUGCAAGUAUUGGAUAUUGGAGAAAGUUUUGUUGAACAGGAAACCUCUCUCAAUCAGGAUGUUUACUGAUUUCAGCUGCAGUUUUGUAUUCUUCUCCAUUUAGAAUCCCUUCAAUAAUGCUGCAUAUGCUUUGAUGUAGUGUUUACAGUCAUUCUAAUAUGUUUUUAUUUUCUUAGCUCUACUUAAAAAAGUCAAUUUAUUGUACAUUAUAAUUAAUGACACUUUUGCCUUAAGUUUGUGAGAAUGAGUCCGCCAUUCAUUUUGUUUACCUCGCAAUUGCUGCGGACUUACAGGUUUCCAUAGUUUUUUCAACAAAAGGUUGUUUUUUUAUCUAUGGUUUUUCCUGGGCGGCGAGGGAAGCAUAAUUGUUUCUUACGUUUUUCAUAUUAUUUCCAUUUAUGGAGUCCAACUCAAUAAGACCUGGUAAUGCCUCGCUAAAAUCUAAAAUAUAGUUUCAGUGAAGUGAGGACUAUAAAUAUCGUGUUAAAUAUCUUCUUGUUCUGUGAUAUUUAAUUAAUUAUUUCUUUGAUACAUUGUAGAAGGAAGGUAAAGAAUUGGUUCUAUUGAAGACCUGUUUUCAUAAAUGUAUUCGUCUAAUAAAUGCAGCAAGCAAGAGCUUCUUUGUGGACGCACCUUAGGACGCGUUUAUAUCAAUUCUACAAAUCAGUUUAAAUUAAUCUGCCCAACAUCGCCGCCUCCUCCUUCAUUAUGGAUAACGAUUUGCCCUCCUAUGGAUCUUUGUACAAUUUGACUUUAAUAAAUGGCUAACUAUGUCUUACCCUAUAUUCUGUGUUUUGUUUUAUUUUAUAUAAGAACAGGAAAUAAUUUAUGUUCGGAUGAGCGAAGCGAAGGAGAACAUAAAUAAAUUUCUUUUCGUUUUUAAAAAGUAGAAAAAUAUGCGUGUCCCUCGAUGGAUUUGAACCGGGGACCUUUGAUUUUGGGAGCUUUCGCUCAUUCCACUGGACCAGCAAGGCUUGCAAGUAUUGGGUAUUUAAAUUAAUUUUGAGGUUGGCAAUUUGAGUGGCACUAUUUUGUUUAUCGUAGUAAGUUGCAUGCAUUCGGUUUAGGGUAUUUAAAUCUUGGAAUUAGCUAUUGUAAUCACUCGACAAAAGUUAGCCAACGACUUACAAGUUUUUGUGAAUAUUAUUUUCGACGAUUCAUUUAGAUGUAUUUUCAGAUAUUGGAAAACGCUUUGUUGAACAGGAAACCUCUCUCAGUCAGGAUAUUUACUGAUUCCACCUUUCAGCUGGAAUUUUGUAUUCUUCUCCAUUUAGAAUCCCUUCAAUAAUGCCGCAUAUGCUUUGAUGUAGUGUUUACAGUCAUUCUAAUAUGUUUUUAUUUUCUUAGCUCUACUUAAAAAAGUCAAUUUAUUGUACAUUAUAAUUAAUGACACUUUUGCCUUAAGUUUGUGAGAAUGAGUCCGCCAUUCAUUUUGUUUACCUCGCAAUUGCUGCGGACUUACAGGUUUCCAUAGUUUUUUCAACAUAAGGUUGUUUUUUAUCUAUGGUUUUUCCUGGGCGGCGAGGGAAGCAUAAUUGUUUCUUACGUUUUUCAUAUUAUUUCCAUUUAUGGAGUCCAACUCAAUAAGACCUGGUAAUGCCUCGCUAAAAUCUAAACUAUAGUUUCAGUGAAGUGGGGACUAUAAAUAUCGUGUUAAAUAUCUUCUUGUUCUGUGAUAUUUAAUUAAUUAUUUCUUUGAUACAUUGUAGAAGGAAGGUAAAGAAUUGGUUCUAUUGAA